rnacentral:rRNA from 1 species
CCCUUAGAUGUUCUGGGCCGCACGCGCGCUACACUGACUGACUCAACGAGUGUACAACCUGCUUCGACAGAAGUGGGUAAUCUUUUGAAAUUCAGUCGUGAUGGGGCUAGAUUAUUGCAACUAUUAAUCUUCAACGAGGAAUGCCUAGUAAGCGCGAAUCAUCAGUUCGCGUUGAUUACGUCCCUGCCCUUUGUACACACCGCCCGUCGCUACUACCGAUUGAAUGAUUUAGUGAGGACUUCGGACUGGGACCGAUGCGGCUUUCGGGCUGCGUCGGUAUUCUGGAAAGAUGUCCAAACUGUAUCAUUUAGAGGAAGUAAAAGUCGUAACA